AACAAACGCUGGCGGCGUGCCUAAUACAUUCAAGUCGAACGGGGUAGCAAUACCUAGUGGCGCACGGGUGAGUAACGCGUGGAUAAUCUGCCUUAGAGUGGGGGAUAACUAGUCGAAAGAUUAGCUAAUACCGCAUAAGACCACAAGAACUGCGGUUCAAGGGGUCAAAGGUUUUUCGCUCUAAGAUGAGUCCGCGUCAGAUUAGCUAGUUGGUGAGGUAAUGGCUCACCAAGGCGACGAUCUUUAACUGGUCUGAGAGGAUGAUCAGUCACACUGGAACUGGGACACGGUCCAGACUCCUACGGGAGGCAGCAGUAGGGAAUAUUGCACAAUGGAGGAAGCUCUGAUGCAGCGACGCCGCGUGAGUGAUGAAGGCCUUCGGGUCGUAAAGCUCUGUCGCAGGGGAAUAACACAAUGAAGGUGCCCUGUAAGAAAGGAUCGGCUAACUUCGUGCCAGCAGCCGCCGUAACAC
rnacentral:rRNA from 1 species